AAAAUCCGUCGACUUUAAAAAUCGUGAGGGUUCAAGUCCCUCUAUCCCCAAAAAAGCCUAUUUGACUCACAA
rnacentral:tRNA from 1 species